CCAGGCCAGAAAACACAGGUGUGAAAGCCAGGCCCAGUCCACAAGGGCAAGGCUUGCAAGAGAGGAAGGAGGAAUCGCGGAGCAGCAAACCAAAGCCAGGCCUGUGUCUUGAGAGGGCUUCUCACCAAGGGAAGCUUCCAGGGCCUUCUCCAAAGCACCAUAUUCAAGCACUGGAUGCUGCUUGGACAUAUCAAUUGAGGUCCCAGAGAAAUCAGUAUGGGGAGAAGAAGGACUUGGAAUCACACAAACAUGGGUCCGAACCCUGCUUGCCCUUCCCAGCUGGGUAAACUCCAGGC
rnacentral:lncRNA from 1 species